rnacentral:rRNA from 1 species
GACGAACGCUGGCGGCGCGCCUAACACAUGCAAGUCGAACGGACCUGAGAGAAGCUUGCUUUUCUUAGCUUAGUGGCGAACGGGUGAGUAACGCGUGAGUAACCUACCCUGGAGUGGGGGACAACAUUUGGAAACGACUGCUAAUACCGCAUAAGCCCACGAACCGGCAUCGGCUUGAGGGAAAAGGAUUUAUUCGCUUCAGGAUGGACUCGCGUCCAAUUCGCUAGCUGGUGAGGUAACGGCCCACCAAGGCGACGAUUGGUAGCCGGGCUGAGAGGUUGGGCCCAGACACUGAGGCUGAGACGCGGCACAGACUCCUACGGGAGGCGGCAGUGGGGGAUAUUGCACCACGGCGGGAACCCUGAUGGAGCGACGACGCGUGGAGGAAGAAGGUUGUCGGAUUGUAAACUCCUGUCGUUAGGGACGAUCAUGACGGUACCUAACAAGAAAGCACCGGCUAACUACGUG